AAUCAAUUACAGGUAAUUGAAAGUUUAUCACUUAAAAUAUGCUUAUUGACCCAUCAUCAGUAGCAUUCUCUAUGAAUCGUAUACAGGAACCUGCUGUCUCUUCAAUGGAUUUUGACCAGCCACCAAGAUUUCCAGCAAAGUAAGGCAAGAUGCUAGCAGAAAUCUGGUUAAAAUAAGAUACCUGUUUCAAAAAGAAAAUAUGGUAUUUCAGUUUCUUAUUGACAUGGAGCUUUUUCAAGCAGAGAACUGAGUCUUGUUUGUAUAGGGAGGCUAUUAAUCCUACUCUUCGGGGACCUGGAAUGGAUCUGAAAGGAUGACAGGAUUCCCCUGGUAUGGACACACAUUGUAGAAUUAUAGUUAACUAGAGGCCCGAUGCAUGAAAAUUCAUGCACUCAGGGGGGGGGGGGGUCUCUCAGCCUGGCCUAUGCCCUCUUGCAGUCCGGGACCCCUCGGACUAAGCUGGUAGUCAGACGUCCCUCUGGCAGCCUAGGAGCCCUUGGGGGAUGUCCGACUGAUGGCCUAAGCCGCAGUCAGACAUCCUUAGCACUGCCACAGAGGUAGGAGAGGCUGGCUUGUGGCUGAGCGGAGCUCCCCCUGUGGAGCGUCUGCACUGCAUUGAGCAUCUGCCCCCUGGUGGUCAGUGCACAUCAUAGCAGCUGGUCUUUUCCUAGUCAUUCAGCCUUUAGGGUCAAUUUGCAUAUUACCCUUUUAUUAUGUAGGAUUAGGAAGCAUGAGUAAAAGACUUCUCAUAUCUGUAGAAACAAAGUAACCUGCAGAUGUUUCAUCAAACUUACAGUGCAUGAACUGCUGUCAAUAGCAUGGAUGAGAAAGCCAGCACAUGUGAUUUCACUUCUGACGUACUGUGGAGAAGGUGGGACCGAUGGCAGAAUGACCGACUUCACUGCCACGGUCACCCAACAGUAAUCAUCACACACUUUCUUGAGCUGAAAUCAGCAGUUUAAAACGCUGCUUUUACUGGUGGAACAAUCAGGAAGAACAAUUUUCAUCACUGUCAGAAAACAUCAACCUUCUCUCCUUUCAUUAUGUGGGACAAGACUCACAGAGAGCAGCUCUUUGUUAUGCAAUUUGCAAGGUAAGAUCUUACACCAUAAAAUCCUGAUACCUAGGUCCCUUACCUGCCCAGACGAAUUCUCUUGCGUGCAAUAGCUCCACAAUACCGUCUAAAAUCAUCCUUUAAUUAAAAAAAAGUAAAAUCAAUAAAUUUCUAAUACUUUAGUGCUAUAAUCUUAAGUCUCUCUCUCCUAAGUCAGUUGAAGAAGCUAACUGGGACCCAGUGUCUGCGUGAAUGCUGCUCAGGUGAGAGUUGGCAAUAAGGCAACUGCAGGUAGUUCCCAUGACCGUGGAGCAGCACCGAGAAGCAGAUGUAAAGUGGGAGAAGAGAAUCAGAAGUGGGAAGGAAGACAAUAUGCUCCCAAGAGCAGUGCAUGGCCCAGUUGAGGUGAGGUAGGCAGGGCCCCCAUUGAGACAGCAUAGGGGUAAUAUCUGGACUCCAUCUUGGAGGCCUGACUAUGGCUCCUUGCUCAGAAACCUUCCCAUAGUUGAAAUUAACCUAAUCACACCCUUAAAGGGAAGAAUGCACAACAACAUCCCUUCUUCACAUCGUGUUCUGCAAAAUAGUUGCUUUGUCUAUUAAAGGUAACUAGAAUAUUUGCCCAAGCAUUAUUUCAUAGGCCCUUUGAGUGGUCCACUGACCACGGAAAACAUCUGUGACUGCCCCGGGAUCAACCACUGCCAGGUGACGAUCAUGGGACAACUGACCUCCUCCUCAUUCCCUAGCCCUACACCCACCCCAAGCCAUCCACAAGAACCCUUCGGGAGCGCGACCUCUCCUUUGUGGUCGACUCCCUUGUGCACAAGCUCUUUUCAAUAAACUCUACCUGCUUGAU